ACACAUGCAAGUCGAGCGGUAGCACAGAGAGCUUGCUCUCGGGUGACGAGCGGCGGACGGGUGAGUAAUGUCUGGGAAACUGCCUGAUGGAGGGGGAUAACUACUGGAAACGGUAGCUAAUACCGCAUAACGUCGCAAGACCAAAGUGGGGGACCUUCGGGCCUCAUGCCAUCAGAUGUGCCCAGAUGGGAUUAGCUAGUAGGUGGGGUAACGGCUCACCUAGGCGACGAUCCCUAGCUGGUCUGAGAGGAUGACCAGCCACACUGGAACUGAGACACGGUCCAGACUCCUACGGGAGGCAGCAGUGGGGAAUAUUGCACAAUGGGCGCAAGCCUGAUGCAGCCAUGCCGCGUGUGUGAAGAAGGCCUUCGGGUUGUAAAGCACUUUCAGCGGGGAGGAAGGCGGUGAGGUUAAUAACCUUGUCGAUUGACGUUACCCGCAGAAGAAGCACCGGCUAACUCCGUGCCAGCAGCCGCGGUAAUACGGAGGGUGCAAGCGUUAAUCGGAAUUACUGGGCGUAAAGCGCACGCAGGCGGUCUGUCAAGUCGGAUGUGAAAUCCCCGGGCUCAACCUGGGAACUGCAUUCGAAACUGGCAGGCUAGAGUCUUGUAGAGGGGGGUAGAAUUCCAGGUGUAGCGGUGAAAUGCGUAGAGAUCUGGAGGAAUACCGGUGGCGAAGGCGGCCCCCUGGACAAAGACUGACGCUCAGGUGCGAAAGCGUGGGGAGCAAACAGGAUUAGAUACCCUGGUAGUCCACGCCGUAAACGAUGUCGAUUUGGAGGUUGUGCCCUUGAGGCGUGGCUUCCGGAGCUAACGCGUUAAAUCGACCGCCUGGGGAGUACGGCCGCAAGGUUAAAACUCAAAUGAAUUGACGGGGGCCCGCACAAGCGGUGGAGCAUGUGGUUUAAUUCGAUGCAACGCGAAGAACCUUACCUGGUCUUGACAUCCACAGAACUUAGCAGAGAUGCUUUGGUGCCUUCGGGAACUGUGAGACAGGUGCUGCAUGGCUGUCGUCAGCUCGUGUUGUGAAAUGUUGGGUUAAGUCCCGCAACGAGCGCAACCCUUAUCCUUUGUUGCCAGCGGUCCGGCCGGGAACUCAAAGGAGACUGCCAGUGAUAAACUGGAGGAAGGUGGGGAUGACGUCAAGUCAUCAUGGCCCUUACGACCAGGGCUACACACGUGCUACAAUGGCAUAUACAAAGAGAAGCGACCUCGCGAGAGCAAGCGGACCUCAUAAAGUAUGUCGUAGUCCGGAUUGGAGUCUGCAACUCGACUCCAUGAAGUCGGAAUCGCUAGUAAUCGUAGAUCAGAAUGCUACGGUGAAUACGUUCCCGGGCCUUGUACACACCGCCCGUCACACCAUGGGAGUGGGUUGCAAAAGAAGUAGGUAGCUUAACCUUCGGGAGGGCGCU
rnacentral:rRNA from 1 species